CCUACGGGGGGCAGCAGUGAGGAAUAUUGGUCAAUGGACGAGAGUCUGAACCAGCCAAGUAGCGUGAAGGAUGACUGCCCUAUGGGUUGUAAACUUCUUUUAUAAAGGAAUAAAACGAGGCACGUGUGCCUUUUUGCAUGUACUUUAUGAAUAAGGAUCGGCUAACUCCGUGCCAGCAGCCGCGGUAAUACGGAGGAUCCGAGCGUUAUCCGGAUUUAUUGGGGUUAAAGGGGGCGUAGAUGGGUUGUUAAGUCAGUUGUGAAAGUUUGCGGCUCAACCGUAAAAUUGCAAUUGAUACUGGCAGUCUUGAGUUCAGUUGAGGUAGGCGGAAUUCGUGGUGUAGCGGUGAAAUGCUUAGAUAUCACGAAGAACCCCGAUUGCGAAGGCAGCUUACUAAACUGUGACUGACAUUGAUGCUCGAAAGUGUGGGUAUCGAACAGGAUUAGAUACCCGGGUAGUC
rnacentral:rRNA from 1 species